ACUCAAAUGAAUAGACGGGGACCCGCACAAGAGGUGGAGUAUGUGGUUUAAUUCGACGCUACGCGAAAAACCUUACCUAGGCUCGAACGACUGAUGGUAGCUUUUGUGAAAGCAGAAGCGACCCGCAAGGGAGUCAGCCGAGGUGCUGCAUGGUUGUCGUCAGCUCGUGUCGUGAGAUGUUGGGUUAAGUCCCGCAACGAGCGCAACCCCUAUCCUGUGUUGCCCAGCAAUGGGCUCUCUCAGGAAACUGCCGCGGAUAACGUGGAGGAAGGUGGGGAUGACGUCAAAUCAUCAUGGCCUUUAUGUCUAGGGCUACACACGUACUACAAUGGUUUGGACAGAGGGCAGCAAUACCGCAAGGUGGAGCCAAUCCCUAAACCAAGCCUCAGUUCAGAUUGUGGGCUGCAAUUCGCCCACAUGAAGCUGGAAUCUCUAGUAAUCGCAGAUCAGCACGCUGCGGUGAAUACGUUCCCGGGUCUUGUACACACCGCCCGU
rnacentral:rRNA from 1 species